rnacentral:rRNA from 1 species
CACGUAGGGGGCAAGCGUUGUCCGGAUUUAUUGGGCGUAAAGAGCUCGUAGGCGGUUCGGUAAGUUGGGUGUGAAACCUCCAGGCUCAACCUGGAGACGCCACCCGAUACUGCUGUGACUAGAGUCCGGUAGGGGAGCGUGGAAUUCCUGGUGUAGCGGUGAAAUGCGCAGAUAUCAGGAGGACACCAGCGGCGAAGGCGGCGCUCUGGGCCGGAACUGACGCUGAGGAGCGAAAGCGUGGGGAGCAAACAGG